UUUGGCACCAGAGCUUCUACGAUCCACGGCGGAACACGGUAGUGAACAAUGGCAAUGCAGAAAAGCAAUGACCAGAUUCCGGCGAAAUUGCCGAUCUUCGACGGCAACAACUAUGAGAGGUGGACGGCGCAAAUGAAGGUGGUGUUCAGGUAUCAAGGUGUUCUUGAUAUCAUAAGCACCGGUGUUACACCUUUGGCGGAGAAUCCCACAGAAGCAUUAAG
rnacentral:lncRNA from 1 species